UUCCGGUUGAUCCCGCCGGACCUGACUGCUAUCGGAUUGAUACUAAGCCAUGCGAGUCAUUGUAGCAAUACAAGGCAGACGGCUCAGUAACGCGUAGUCAACCUAACCUAUGGACGGGAAUAACCUCGGGAAACUGAGAACAAUGCCCGAUAGAACACUAUACCUGGAAUGGCUUGUGUUCCAAAUGAUUUAUCGCCGUAGGAUGGGACUGCGGCCUAUCAGUUUGUUGGUGAGGUAAUGGCCCACCAAGACUAUUACAGGUACGGGCUCUGAGAGGAGUAGCCCGGAGAUGGGUACUGAGACACGGACCCAGGCCCUAUGGGGCGCAGCAGGCGAGAAAACUUUGCAAUGUGCGAAAGCACGACAAGGUUAAUCCGAGUGAUUUGUGCUAAACGAAUCUUUUGU
rnacentral:rRNA from 1 species